CUGCACCUUGAUUGUAAGUCGCUUUGGAUAAAAGCGUCUGCUAAAUGACUAAAU
rfam:Larimichthys crocea isolate SSNF unplaced genomic scaffold scaffold298, whole genome shotgun sequence.